CGAAGGGAGGGGCCUGGGUUCCGGCUGGCUGCCUGGCACGGCGGCUGGGGUGGGGGUGAAAUGCAGGGUCCGGAAGGGCGGGGCUCACACGGAAAGCAGGGUGGAGGCGCUGUAGGCCGGUGCGGGUUUAGGGCUGAGCAGGGCAGGGGAAAGCGGGAAAAUGCAAAGGCCUCGCAUGUCCGAGGAAGGACCUAUAGGAGUGCGGCGGAGGCGCGGCGCGGCCGCUGAGUGGUCGAGGAGGCGCGGGGGCGGGGCUAGGCUGCCGCAGGGCAGUACGGCCCUCGGUGCCUGUGCCCGGGCUGAGGAGACCUUCCUCGACACCCCACGUUAUGUGGGUUUCCGCAAGACCUUCCGCCAUUGCCUGGGCUUUGAAAGCGCUUUAGGAACGAUACGGAAACGGAGGCUUAGAAGUGGAAACUUUACAGAUAUGGAAACUGAGACUUAGAAAAAUGACCCGUCAAAGGCUCAGCUCAUCAUGAAGAAUGUCCAUGUGACUUUGGUUAAUAAAAUGUGAGGAAUCCAAAGUUCAAGAAAAGUUCAAAUAACCCACUCACAGUUGCACAGCUAGAGGGAGAGCUGGGAUAGAUCUAUAAAGCUGCAACUCCUGUGCACACAGAAAUAUGAAGCCACUUUCACCCUCUGGAAUCCUUCAGAUUCCUUCAACUUCCAGCUAAUGGAGAAACAGGUUCUUCAGGAAGACCCCAGCCUUUGCUGCAUACAAAGAGAGCCCAAAGCCCUAGGCAGUCCUAGUUGGAAAACAGAACUGUAGAUGCUUACUAAUAUGGUAAGCAGAAAUUUUUCAGGGCAGUGCAGUAUACACUGAAUAAGAAAAGGGUGAAACAACAAGGGAAGAGGCAAUUUCCACUCAACUAUAAGAUUAAGAAAUUAGAAGGAAAUUGAUAGACAAUAUGAAAUAGUGUUUGAGACUAUCUCUCUGGAGCCAGGCCAUCAGGAUUGCCA
rnacentral:lncRNA from 1 species